ensembl:lncRNA
AUGCCAGCAUCAGUACUUCCCACACGUCCAUCUAUCCAUGCGGUGUCAGUUUAUCCCAUACUGACAUGUAUACCAAGAGAAUAUUUUCUUCUUUUCAGCAUGACAUGUACUUCUUACCCCCAGGGUCUUCCUCUACCCCUGAGUGUGCUUUGCCUUCUAAAGACACCCAGCAUAGGCCGGGCACGGUGGCUCACGCCUAUAAUCCCAGCACUUUGGGAGGCUGAGGCGGGCGGAUCACGAGAUCAGAAGAUCGAGACCAUCCUGGCUAACACGUCUCUUUUCAGCAAUCUGGCCACCAUUCAGGGGGGCCUGACUGGGAGACAGAUGAAUGGGAAGGUUCUGACCUGUUUUGAGUCCGGCUCCCACCUUGCUGUCACAUAUCGGAAUGUCACCGCUCUGAGUGUGUCCCAGAGCCUUGGAGGUGGGCCAUGAGGUGCCGAGAAGCAGCCGCAGCCUCCUCCCUCCACCAAUCCCAGAGCGAUGCUGGUGAUUUCAAACGUAUCUGUCCUAUCAGUAAAUAAACAAGAUGCAGAUCUCUGGUAUGACAGCUCCAUGAUGAGGCAAUCUGUGAGUUUCAUGUCUCUAGACUUGCACAGAUAUUAAGAAAAACACGUUUAUGGCCGGGCACAGUGACUGACGCCUGUAAUCCCAGCACUUUGGGAGGCCGAGGUGGGCAGAUCACGAGGUCAGGAGAUCGAGACCAUCCUGGCUAAUGCGGUGAAACCCCGUCUCUACUAAAAAUAUAAAAAAUUAGCCGGGUGUGGUGGCGGGCGCCUGUAGUCCCAGCUACUCGGGAGGCUGAGGCAGGAGAAUGGUGUGAACCCAGGAGGCGGAGCUUGCAGUGAGCCGAGAUGGUGCCACUGCACUCCAGCCUGGGCGACAGAGCGAGACUCCGUCUCAAAAAAAAAAAAAGAAAAACAAGUUUACUUGCUUGGUGGUUCAGGACUUCCAGAGAAAGCAUGGGAGUCAGUAGGAGGCAAAGUAGAUAAAAAGUAGGAGGUCGAGGCUGCAGUGAGCCAUGACUGUGCCACUUACUCUAGCCUGGGUGACAGAAUGAGACCCCAUCUCAAUAAAAAUAAAUAAAAUAAAAAUUCUAAAAAGAUUUUAUUUUCUGCCUAAAAUGUGGACAAAGUACUAAAAAACACAUAUAUUCAUUUAAAACCAUGGCAAAGGGGCAUAAGCAUGUAAUCCACCAAUGCCCAGUGAACUUAAGAGGAAGGUAUAUGAUCAGAAUCACGACACUGCACUCUGGCCCCAUCCCUGCCCCCAAUUCACCAUGUCAUCUUGGACCACUAACCCUCACCAAGCCUCGGGUCCCUCAACUAUUAAAAAAGAAAAAGAAUUCAAACUCAGCUUGCACAGAUAAGUUCCUGAGUUUAUAGCUUCCUGGGCCCUGCCCCAGGCGGGACCUAAGAAUGGGAGUCUUACCCAGGCUGCCCUCCCCCCCCUGCUUUGGGGUAUAUCUGCUCUCUUUCAGCUCUUCUGUGACUGUAGCCUCUUCUCAACUAAGUAUCAAACCACCCCACUCUUGUUCUUAGGGUGUUAGAAUGCCCUGUUGAUUAAGUAAAGCAAUGCUGUAGAAAAGCCAAAAACCAAAGGACUUUAAUGGCUCCCAGAAGAAAGAAGUAAUAAAAAUCCAGAGCGGAGGAGGAAGAAAAAAGGAGGAAAAUGUAUUUAUCUCUGAAUUCUAAGAAGAAAGUCAUCCCAUUGUUCCCGAAACACCAGGCGUUUGGUCUAGGUCCUGCUGCUCACCGCACAGAAAGCCGAUCACUGAGAUAAGUAUUGCCAAGAAGAAGCCUUUAAUCAGGUGCUGCAGAGAAGAUGGGAGCUCAGUCUCAAAUCCAUCUCCCUGAUUGACUAAAGCUAGAGGUUUACAUAGCAAGGAAGAAAUGUAACAAUGUGUAACAAAAUAAGAACUAGGGAGGAGCAAGGGGGCAUCUGGUGCCCCCAUCUGGUAAGUUUCAGUUCUCUGAUCCCAUUUUUUAGAGGCCUGAAGGUCCUUUUCUGAGAAAGGAACUUAGAUAAAACAAAUACAAGUUUCAAGCUUUUACAGCAGAAGGAUCAAUGUCUAUGUUUAUCCAAAAGAACAGUCUAUGGGCCCAUCUCACCAUGUAGUCCCCAUGAGUAUCUAACAAUUUUUAUUUUUGAAACGAGAUCUCAUUCUGUCACCCAGGCUGGAGUGUAGUGGCACAAUCACCGCUCCCUGCAGCCUCGACCUCCUCAAGCAAUCCUCCCACUUCAGCCUCCCGAGCAGCUGGGACUACAGGCACGUGCCAUCACACCUGGUGUCACUAUGUUGCCCACGCUGAUCUCAAACUCCUGGUCUCAAGAGAUUCUCCUGCCUCAGCCUCAGAAAGUGCUGGGAUUACAGGCGUGAGCCACCACGCCCAGCCUUCUAACAGUUUUUUUUUUUUUAGAUGGAGUCUUGCUUUAUCGCCCAGGAUGGAGUGCAGUGGCGCAAUCUCGGCUCACUGCAACCUCCACCUCCUGGGUUUAAGCAAUUCUCCUGCUUCAUCCUCCCGAGUAGCUGAGAUUACAGGCACGCACCACCAUGCCUGGCUCAUUUUUGUAUUUUCUUAGUAGAUAUGGGGUUUUGUCAUGUUGGCCAGGCUGGUCUCGAACUCCUGACCUCAGGUGAUCCAUCUGCCUCGGCCUCCCAAAGUGCUGGGAUUACAGGCGUGAGCAACUGCACCCAGCCCUUCUAAGAAUUUUUAAAUUCUUCCCUCAGAUAUCCCAAUAGGAGAGAAACAGACCAGCAUAACCAGAUCCUGGAGAUGCCCAGAUCUAAACUGGAUCAGAUUCCGUCAUCCACAUCCACCUAGUCUAUAACCAUCUGGUUUGUCACUCUGGAUUACAUUCAGUAUAGAGCCACACUGUCCAUUUUGGAACCAUCUCAAGCUACAGGAAACCAUAGAAAGAGAAAUGCAAAUUUUAGGAAAUAUGUAUUUAGCAUAAUACCUAAUCUUAAAGACCCAAAUUAAAAUCAGAAAACUAAUA